GGUCCGGGUCCGGGUCCGGGUCCGGGUCCGGGUCCGGGUCUGGGUCCGGGUCCGGGUCCGGGUCCGAGUGCGGGUCCGGGUGCGGGUCCGGGUGCGGGUGCGGGUCCGGGUCCGGGUCCGGGUCCGGGCCCCGACUGGCGUUAACGCAAUGCUGGUGUUUGUUUGCUUUGUCACACACACUAGCAAUGAACUGCUAUUCCUAGUCUCAUGUCCUUUUGCCUGAGGGCCCCUUAACUUCAAACUUAUAAUACUUCAGAGGGAAGGGCUUUACAUUCUCCAUUCCAAGGGAGGCUCCUGUCUUCCUUAGGAGACGCCUGUCUUUCAAACAGAAGCAGAUUUUGUUGCCCAAGUGUGGGGCACAAGAUCAUUGAGAGAAAAAGGGUGAAAAAAAGGAAUAACGGUUCUUGAGAAACCUAUUAAUUUUUUAUUUUUUGUGUGCUGGAUAUAGAAACUUCAUUAAGUGUCACUAUGUGGUCUAACUUACCCUGGUUUGGGUGGCACAUGGUCAUGGCUAUACUUCUCCUGUUUGCAGGCCCUUAUGUAAACAUGUGUCCUAUAAUUAGAACUACUGUGGCUGUUAUCCAGUUUAGAGGUUAGUAAGUGAGGAAUUAAUGGAUUUUUAACUUCCUUUGGAAGCCAGGCACAUGAAUUCACAGCUAUCACACACUACCUGUACACAUUAAACUCUGCAGCUAUUAAGUAGUUUCUACAGAGAACUGUAUGCAAACUAUAUGCAAUUCUGAGUUUCUGUACAAAGUACUCCAAACAGGAAAACCACAUAAACAAGAAUAGACUUCAGGGACAAUUUAGUGCCUGGAGAACUGAUCCACUUGGUGGUUGCAUCAGUUGUUCUUUUAUUUAGAUACCAGUAUUGUACCCUAGCCAAACUACGUAUUUGUUCUGAUUUGGAAUUUCUUAUACCAUUUCAUUGCUAUUACACUAUUUAUAGGGCUAUUUCUAGCUCACAAAUCCUUAACUGACUAAAGCAUGGGAGAUCUGAAGAGCCGUAGGAAACUUCCUGGCUUCUGUUGAAGACAUUGUGUAAACUCUAUUUUGAGAAGCUUCGUGGUAGCUCAAAAGAAAAACUUGGGGCAGAAGUUAUUCAGAUUAUUUGUUAUCAGAAUAUUUCUAAUGGUGUUUGAGAAAAUUAAGGUACAUAAAGCCGUGCUAGUUACUGCUUUCCUGUCUAGGCAAUAGCCAGUAGCUAUUGGAGAAACAUAAGACUUCAGGCUCCUGCUGUUAUGUCAGGUUUGGGGCUGUGGAAGGUGCUCUAGGAGGAAGCUCCGGGGUCAUCCGGAGUUACUUGGCACGGGAUUUGGCCUCUGGUCGCUCUGAACACAAGAGGGUGCUGGUUACUGCGUGGAGACUUUCCCUUAGGAAAUAGCUUUUUUUUCCUUCGGUUCUAGAAUGGAAAAGAGAGGGAAGUGUGCUGCCCUGAAGACCCAUAUACCAUGUACUGAAGAGUCACCAGUAUGCAUGAAAUCACAAUUAUUCAAGUCAGCAGAAGAUGUAAGCAAGUUUCAUCAUGUGAUGGAAAAGGAGGAAAGAGCUUUGCAAUAGUUUUCCUUUUGUAUAUGCCAACUUUUAUCCAGUCUCUUCUUGUUCUUGAGCAAGCAGAACUACUCUUUUAGUACCAUUAUUAACUUGUAUCAUCUUCCUUAAGUAAGCCUAACUUUUUCUCCUUGGAAUGGCAAUAAGUAAACUGUUUCAUUCAAUUUCCAAUUCAAUUACGUCCCUUUUCUGUUUUCUUACUCUGCAGUCAGGCCAUUACUUCUGCAUUGGAAAACUUUUUAGCUCUGAAAGAAUACGAAUGCGGCAGUAAAUACAAACAGUGAGCUCCUGCAACUUAAAUAGGUACCUCAUCUUAAUAAUGAUUUAAUAGGGUAGAAACCAGCUAACCAAAAAAAAUGCUAUUUACCCCUGAAUUACAGAGCUGCCAGACACCUUGAAUGGAACUGCCUCUAAGUACAUCCAAAAUACUUAAUGCCAGAGACAUUUGUCAAUGGAGCUAUCAAAAAUUGAGUAUUCAUCAAGUAGUAGCUUGAACAUACUCUUGGAAAACAAUCUAAGAAAUUACCUGAUUAUGAAAGACAAUAUUUUAAGGAAUUUUUACCAGCAGUCAAUUUAGAUUAAGAUUCUUUUUUUGAAUUGAGAUGUAGCUUCAUCUUUUUGUGUCUAUCCUUCCAAUUUAAUUCUUUAUGGCAGAUCAGCAAAGUCUUUGUCAUUUACUGAAAAAAAAUCCAAAGUAAGAAGUAAACAAUGCUGCUGCUGAACAGCUUUCAAUACAGUGUAUCAUCUGAGGACUACUUCUUGUUUUGACUUAUGCACUGUGAGUGAACAGUUAUAAUCUCCCUCUAGAAGAGAUGUUUUGCAUCUGGCCUGAAUGAGGAUAGGCCUUUGUAUUCCAGAAGAGUCCUGACUGCUACUCUCCAGACAAGUCAACACACUGAAACAAGCAGUUUGUUUUUACUUGUGCUAUGAUCACAUAAAUAUGAUACAAGAGAAACCUUCUUUCUGUGCUUUUUCUUGCCUCACAGCAUGUCUCAAUUGUGUUAGCAAUUAUCAGGUAGCAGGGCAGAGUAAAGUCAGUGGUAUACAGAACAUGUAGUCACGUGAAAUCAGAUAGAGAUUCUAAGUACCAGAUCCAGAGUAGAGGAUAAUGGAAUCACUGGAAAAAAUCAAGUCUCUUUACUUCCUCUUUUACAGAUGAUGCUUUAUGUUACUAGUUUUCAGUUACCUUUGUCUCUCCUGCUUUCCCUCUCCCCAGUUCAUGGUAUUUUUUUAUUUUGGACAUGUGUUAUAUUCACAGUAUAUUUCCACGGUCACAGGAGCUAAGUUGGCCAACUGCUGUUGAAUGUUGAUGACUAAUGAAGAACAUUCACUGGGCUGCCUGGCAGAGUGCUUAUGUAUUUCAUUGCCCAGCUCUCUCCUGGACUAAUUAUCUUCUUUUUUUAUCAGCACAAAAAGGCCUCCAAGUUCCCACUACUCCUGUGUCACAAAGCAGGAGCAGAGAAUGUAACUGCUAGUGUUAGGAUGGUAAGUGUAGCACAAUAACUGAGCAUUGUUAAGGAUUGAAGUUCAUCAAAGAUGUUCUAAACCAGACCUUGCUAACAAUGAACUCAAUUCCAUGUAUCCUCAUCCUAAACAAAGAUGGAACAAUAGUUGUGCUGACACCAGCAAGGUCAGAAUAUCACCCCAGGCCCUUGCCUUUCCCUUCCAUGUAAUUCUGCCCAGUCUUGUAUUUGGCAAGAAAGUUAUGGAUAAUUUUCCUUGCUCUUGUUCAGCUCUUUCCUGCACCAUUUAUCAUUCUUCUCAACAUAUCAGAUCACUUUUAACAUAAAUUUUAAGUUUAUAAGCACGAAAUAAGUAAAUCAAUUGCAGUUUACUUGAAGUGCACCUAUUGAGUAUGCUUCUUAUAAUGUAGUAGACUGUUUACAUUCUAGAUUAUCUAGACUAUCAUAGACAUAGUUUUCCUAAAACACAGUUGUUUCCUACAGAAAUAUUAAGAUUUUGCCAUAACUUCUGUCUCAUCAUAGAAUAUGCUUAUGCUAUGUAGUUUGUUGAGAAUAAGGCCCAAUACUGUUUAGGGUCUACAUGCAUGCUACUAAAACAUGGGCCUAUGCAAUGAAGAUGUUAAAAAAGAAAUUUCUUCACUCUAGGCUCCUCACAGCAGAGCUUCUGUCAUCCAGCUGCAGGAAAAAAUAACCAAAUAAUUGAAUGGUACAAUAAUAGGCCAGCUAGAGCCCGGUUAAUCUAUUGAGGGACCCCGUACCAAGAUCCAUGGGCCUUAAUUGCCUCAGAAUUCAUGCAUUUGUUCCUCGUGUGCCCUGCAUGUGCCUCUUAGUGCAAUGGCAACUUUUGGUCUGGGACAUCCUAACGCUUAUAGGAUUCUUUUCCUAUGACCCCACAGACAGAUCAGUAACUGUUCUUAUCUUUUUGUGACUCAGCUUUUGCUGAGGUGUGCAGCCUCCUCAUCUUCUGUUUUGUGCUUCUGAUGCAUUACUUUAGUUGGUAGAAGAUGGAAAAUUCAGAAGCCCUUGGCUUAAAGUAAGGAUUGCUAGGAAAUUACUUAAAUACUGGUUUGUAAUCAACAUUAUUCUCACUGUACAUGCUAGUAGGAAAAUUACUAAGAAAUUAUUCUAGCCAGAAACAUCUCUAGAUGAAAGUUUGCAACUACAGGCAAACAACUUCAGAAAAUUCAGCUACUCCUGCUAAAGUAAGUAAAUUCAAGGCAAACAACAUCCUAUAUCACACUGUGUUGUAACUCUAAGUGCCUUAUUCUUACUUAAAACUUGCUUAUUAAGCCAAACAUUAUCUGUCCACAAGGACCAGUCCAUAAUCAUUGUUUUCCAAUAUCAAAUCUCUGUCUCUAUUUUUCUUUUAUUCAUUUUAACAGGUUAAGCAUCUUCUCACCAUUAUUUUCUUUUCAGAAAACUAAGUAAUAUUUAUUUUGCUUAUUAGAACAGUAGCACAAAGUCCACUAUCACAGGCAAGGUGCUCAAAUAAGGAGACAGUACUUGUUUGAGAGCAAGAAGUCACCUUGCCACAAGAAAGAUGGCAGCUGCUCUGUGGAUUUGUGGUAGGUUUGGCACAAUAAAGGAGCUGAAUUUUUAGUUCUGUCUCUAUCCUGCUUUUAAAACAAAGGUAAAAUGCUUUAGCCUUCAGACCUUGUUAUUUAAAUAUCAAAUUAAUUUCAACAUUGAUCAGGAGAGGAACAUUCUCUAUGUUUGUUAGAAUGAUGGAAUUUUAUACAACUAUAUUUGGUGUGCUAUCCAUGUUUGUCAUAAUGAGUGCAUUAAAAUACUAAAAUGAGUUAUAUACAAUAAACAUAUAUAUAUAUAAAAGUUUAAGCAUCACUUGAAAGAUUUCCCACUACAGAUACAUAUAUGGAUUAAGUGUAGAGGCUAUAAAAAACCUGAAUUUUACGUAGCUGAAAGUAGUAAGAACAGUUGAUUAUAAUAAUUUUGUUAUGGUGGGUGCAGAUAGUAACCCAAAGUUAGGUUUGGCAAUGACAUAGCCUAAUCAUAACAAACUACCUUUUUUUUUUUUUUCAUAUACAGAUCAAAUGCAGUACUUCAGUGACAAGAAUGAGUUAGAAGUGUAAAAGGACUACUUUUAUGUGUACUUUCAUAGAUUUUGUGUACGCAAUAUGGAAUCUAGUUCUGCUUCAUUAUGUUUUUUUAAGUAGCACCACUGCUUGUGAUCCAGCCUCUAAUUUUAUAUUCUCAAAGCAAAAUUCUAGUUGUGUGAAGUUACACCUUAUAAGUAAAGUAAAUAAGUAAAUAAAUGAUGGAAUUGCUACAUAGAAUUUCUAUUUUUCAUGGGGCUCCCCGUUCAGUAAUCAUGAGACCUUGUAGAUCAAGUUGUACUGUUUUAUUUUUCAUAAUUAAGUAUUGAAAAGAGCAGCUGCAUGAAAUGCAGCUACAACAUUUAAUUAACGGAUGAGUGUUCAUUUUAUGACUACCAGUGUCUUACGAAUACCACUGUAUUCUCAUUUCCCAACACCUUGUACUAGAUGGCUGUUAACAGAAAAGUAAAUGAAAAGUACACAGGGAUGGAGAAUACAAUCAGAAAAGGGGAAAAUUAUGUAAACAGAAAUACUCAUAUACAGACAACUCAUAAUCUCUCUGCAAAUGUGUAGAGGUUGGACAGAAAAACCACUCAAUUCUUGUCCUGUCCCCCGAUGGCCUUCUCAAGCCCCUUUCUUUCUGCAUCUCCACACUAACUUUUUCAGAGCACAUUAAGCUGUUUGUUGUUUGAGUAAUAAAAAUACCCAAGUCAAAUUCUGUCCCUCCUUUGGUUGUUAGGUAACUAAUAAAUACUUGCCUCAUUGAUUCAAAAGCAGAGCCCAAAAAAUGACAGUUCAAGUUAUCUAUAAAGACUAAAACUGUUCCAAAUGCCCAUUACAAUGUAUAACUUCCCUCUGCCGCAAACAGACAGGAAAGAUGACAAUAUGUUGGCAUAGCAGGUUUUUAGAUCAACAGCUAUGCCAACAUCUUGCCUCCUCUCCAGCUCUGCAUAAAGGAAUUUCUUAGAAAGGUGUCUGUGGGAAUUGUACAACCUUUAACUGUGAUUUGUUUGAUCUAAAAUAGAAAUCCGAAAUUUAUGUAAAAGCUUCACAUUGUUAUGUAAAACAUUUGAAUAUCAGUCUCACCGUAAAAUGUACAGUAAUCCUAAUGUGAGUGGAUUUUUACUCCUUAGGCUAUGAGGUCUAAAAAAAUCUCUGACAGAAGCCAAGUUUGUAGCUCUGUGUCUAUAACAGCUGCAGAGCAGAGACAGUGUUUCUGUAUUCAGGACAUUUCUUACCAAAGCAUCAAUAAAACCCAUGAGAGAGAGUGGAUGAUCUAGAUCUGUAUCUUAUGCACUGGAGUGGAAUCAUAUUCUCAAGUGACUUAAUUUUAAACUAAUUUUGUUUAGUUUCUCUUUUUUUUUUUUUUUUUUCCACAUUCACAUAAACAAGAGAUUACAAAGAAGAGAUUUAAACACACACAUUUGCUGUUAUAAAAAAAUCGUUCUUUCUUAGAAAUCACACUGCCACCUUCUUGUAAUCUAUUUCCAUUUUCACAAACAUUUGCAGAGAGUAUUUUUGGGUACAGUGGAUUUGCCAAGGAAAUGUGAUAGUCAUUAUGAAACUGGAGACAGACUGCUCCAAUUUACCUUGCCCACAGUGCACACUUCCACUGUUUAAUGGUUGUUUGGUGUUUUCUUUUCACUUAUUUUAAUCAAACGAGGAGAGAUAUUUUAAUUUAUUUCUCUAAUCAUGCACCUUGUUCUAUAACGCAGUCAGAAUGGCAAGAGUGAAAUGUAAGAGUCUAAUAAGUGUAAAGAGAGUUGAUAACUAUAUGGAGCACAUUGACUAGGUCAAUCAUUCACAACACCAAACAUGUGCUUUACUGAACAGAUGAUGUUGUCAGCUAUAGUUGCCAAAUGUACCUUUGAUUUUCAUUGCCAAACUCUAUAUUCAAAUCUGACACCUUGAGCUCAUAUCAGUAUUGUGGAGUUUUGGUAGUUUUGGGUUUCUUUCCCUCCAGAUUUUUAAAAAUGAGGAGAAAAGCAAGGAAAAGUUGUUUACAUUUGUUACAACAUUAACAUAAGGGCAUUCAUUGUCACCAGACACUCUGGUAUUUUAAAAUUUUGUAGGUAAUCUUCAAAGAAGCUGGGGUUCAGUAAAACCUUUCAAAGCUGAGGUUGCACAAUGAAGCUUCCUUGAGGUGUUACCUUGCUAUCAAUGAUCAAGCCACUUCAGAAUAUACAACCUAGAACCCUCCAAAAAAUGGAGUGAACAUAGAAAAGCACAUUUUUCCAUAUUACAUAAAUAGAAUAGAAAACAUUCUGAAGCCAUGCACUUAAUCACGUUUUAAAAUACCACAAGAGAGCAUAUUUUGUUAUCCUUGUUAACACUUGUGUCUUCAAUUAACUUUACAACUAGCACGUGAGCUGUCUUACACAAAUAAAACCUGUUUCUCACCAAAUACUCUGAUCUAAGAAAACUGCCAAGUUAAAGGCAUGUGAGUGACACAACAUUUCAAAGAGUCCCUUUGGAAUUAUAUUUAAGGAAAAGUUCUUAAAUCUACCUUUUGGGAAUACUAUCAGUGAAUUCCAUUAGAAUUUUCCAUUUAGGUAUCUCAGGAUGGGAAAAAGUCCUAAUUCUUCAAAAUGGAAAGUAAAUUGUGAAUUUCAAAUGCUUAUUACAUAAAAAUUCAAGAAUGUACAGAAAAAACAUAUUUACUUGCUGUUUUGUGUUUGCUAAACCUUUCUUUCUGCCUUUAGAAUUUAAUUUAUAAAUAUAUAUGAAGCUUGUACAUUCAUAUAUAACUUUUCUUUACCAUUAUCUUACAAAUCUCUUAUAAGUCAGUGUGGUUAUUUUAAAACUUUGGCAAUAAUCUCUGAAUUUGCUUAAGAUAACUUUUCCAAUAUUUUUCUUCUGAACUGAAAACUGCUUAUAUUUGGGAUCAUAUUCUGUAGAAUGUUUGCAUGUACAUGUACUCACAUCAGUAGAGGGUUUUUAUACUCUGAUAUGA